GUGCUCACUUCGGCAGCAUGUGUGCUAAAAUUGGAAUGAUACAGAGAAGAUUAGCAUGGCCCCUGAGCAAAGAUAACAUGCAAAUUCAUGAAGCGUUCCAGAAUUUU